rnacentral:tRNA from 1 species
CAGAGAAUAGUUUAUAAAAAUGUUAGUUUUGGGGACUAAAGAUAAGGAGAGUCCUUUUCUCUGA